rnacentral:rRNA from 1 species
UACGUAGGGUGCAAGCGUUAAUCGGAAUUACUGGGCGUAAAGCGUGCGCAGGCGGUUGGGCAAGACAGAUGUGAAAUCCCCGGGCUUAACCUGGGAAUUGCAUUUGUGACUGCACGGCUAGAGUGUGUCAGAGGGGGGUAGAAUUCCACGUGUAGCAGUGAAAUGCGUAGAUAUGUGGAGGAACACCAAAGGCGAAGGCAGUGUCCUGGGGAGUACCUGACGCUCAGGUGCGAAAGCCAGGGGAGCGAACGGG